CCUACGGGUGGCAGCAGUCGAGAAUCAUUCACAAUGGGGGAAACCCUGAUGGUGCGACGCCGCGUGGGCGAAGAAGUAUUUCGGUAUGUUAAGCCCUAUCUGCAGGGAAGAAGAAAAGACGGGACCUGCGUUAGGAGCACCGGCUAAAUACGUGCCAGCAGCCGCGGUAAUACGUAUGGUGCAAGCGUUAUCCGGAUUUACUGGGUGUAAAGGGAGCGCAGGCGGCACGGCAAGCCUGAUGUGAAAGCCCGCGGCCCAACUGCGGGACUGCAUUGGGAACUACCGGGCUGGAGUGCCGGAGAGGUAGGCGGAAUGCGUAGUGUAGCGGUGAAAUGCGUAGAUAUUAGGAGGAACACCAGUGGCGAAGGCGGCUUACUGGACUGUAAAUGACGCUGAGGCUCGAAAGCGUGGGGAGCAAACAGGAUUAGAUACCCUUGUAGUC
rnacentral:rRNA from 1 species